GACAGAGGGGGCAAGCGUUGUUCGGAAUUACUGGGCGUAAAGGGCUCGUAGGCGGCCAACUAAGUCAGACGUGAAAUCCCUCAGCUUAACUGGGGAACUGCAUCCGAUACUGGCGGGCUUGAAUCCGGGAGAGGGAUGUGGAAUUCCAGGUGUAGCGGUGAAAUGCGUAGAUAUCUGGAGGAACACCGGUGGCGAAGGCGGCAUCCUGGACCGGUAUUGACGCUGAGGCGCGAAAGCUAGGGGAGCAAACGGG
rnacentral:rRNA from 1 species